rfam:Cephalotus follicularis DNA, scaffold: scaffold79, isolate: St1.
AAUGGUGUAAUGGAGCUUCCUUCAGCCCACUCAUGGAUAAGUAGGGUUUGGAUUAGCUGCCGACUCAUUCAUUCAAACACAGUAGAAAAGUAGCAGCAGUGUACACUACUGUGAAUGUGUGAAUGAUGCGGGAGAUAAAUUUCAUCCUUGUCUUCUCGCUGCUUGGACUGAAGGGAGCUCCCUUUUACUCUCUU